UACAGAGGUCUCAAGCGUUGUUCGGAUUCAUUGGGCGUAAAGGGUGUGUAGGUGGCGCCGUAAGUCGGGUGUGAAAUUUCGGAGCUUAACUCCGAAACUGCAUUCGAUACUGCGGUGCUUGAGGACUGGAGAGGAGACUGGAAUUCAUGGUGUAGCAGUGAAAUGCGUAGAGAUCAUGAGGAAGACCAGUGGCGAAGGCGGGUCUCUGGACAGUUCCUGACACUGAGACACGAAGGCCAGGGG
rnacentral:rRNA from 1 species